ensembl:lncRNA
GGAAAACUACGCAGGACACUAUUUUUAACUGGUCUCCUCUGCAAAGAAGGAGGGGACAGGAGGGAAAAAAGAGGCAGAGUGGCUGGUGUCCUCCUACGCUCCGCAGAGAGCCAUGGAGCGAUGACUCAUCAGGAGGGGAGAUUUGUUGAUGAGGAGCGGUGGGUGGGUUGAACAACCGAGAAAAGCACCAGCCCUUCUCCAGCAGUGGAAGCCGUUUAGCUGUAACACAUUACUUGCGAGGGAAUUAUGUUGUGCGUUCAAUCUGUGGCUCUUGUGGAGCAGACCCUGCUUGAAUUGGACCUCAAGAAUUAAGCUUUCUUGGCCUCUAUGAAGAGCCUAUAUGCCGCUCUGCUACGACGCCUCCAUCAUCAUAGUUGGGGGUGAGCUUCCUGUAUUGAAUUGACAGUGAGCGGAUCUUAUAGGGAGUUGGAGAGGGAACAGCACGAUGGUACCAAGUGGACCAAUCACCACGUUGCGCUCUGCGUCUGGUCGGAUAAGCCAGAGUGAGAGCAACACCAAGCGUUCCCAAGCGCCUAUUUUUAGAAAAGUAAAGUAACUGCAGGACCACCUGUCACGUGACAAGGAACGACAAAUUAUGCCGAAUUUUCUCCUUAAAUAUCCAUAAAGCAAAUGCAGCAGUAAAGCUCCUGUGAGGGAUUCAGAUAGCUGCAGACCCUCUUACCUUGGUUUUGAUUGAUUGUUUUACGUGACGAGGCUUCCCGCUAAAUUCAACGUCAUUAUAAUUGUCGUCACAACGCUCCGGUUCUGCAUGAACUCAACGUACUGUGCGUCUAUGCACGGGUCGGCAUCUGCCCCCACCUCCCUUUGUGAGCAGAAACCAGACCCAAAGUGGUGUUGGUGAAACAGUAUGAGGCCCGUCCCUCUCCGUCGGCCCCCCAGCUCCUGGUCAGAGCCUCCUUGUUAAUGAGAGCAAAGGCCAAAGGGGGCCACAGAGAGGAAUGUUCACACAGCCACAAUGAGUCCGACACCGGCUUACUGAGGGAGUGUGUCCACCGACUCGUCACCGACACACACACACACACACACACACACACACACACGGCUGAGUUUUGUUGCCUCCGAAAUACAUCUUCGCAAACUUUAUUUGAUCGUGUGAGAACAUCUUGAGUAUUACACUUAUUUACAGGAACCUCCCUACCUACUCUGCGCAUUAGACGUACGUCUACAGAAACAAAUGUAUAUAUUUAUUAUGUAAUUAAAAAUGCUCAGUGAUGUAAAACAGCUGGUCACUGUAGCUUUAAUUAAACAAACAGAAGACCUGUCCGCAGCGGAUGAAUCCACAUUUGGUGCCUUGGUGAGUGAUUGUGGCAGCAGGACUGCAUGUUGCCCCGAGUCAAAGUAAACCACAGCGUGUGUGUUCCUGGUGAUGAAGGAACAUCUCACCCAGUGCAACAGCGAGGCUUUGUGUCACGGAGGGAGAUUCAUCAAGCGUUUAUUUACAAAAGACUCGAACACACGUCGCCGCUCGGGCAGAAGAGUCCGGCAUCACCAAGCCGACGUGGAAGGACGCCUUUGGUUUCACACUUGGCGAACGGUGUGAAGCGGUUCACUUUACAAAAGUGUGGUUAACGGUGUAAAAGGCGGGCGGGUAGGUUCAGGCAAAGUAAACACCUGGUUCAGAUAAGAGAAGAAAAAAAAAAAAAAGACACGAGAAACAAAAGAGAAGAUAAAAUGGGGGUAAGCAGCGAUGUUGGGAGACGGGGAUGGAGAUAAGAAAGGAUGUUUUCUUCUCUGCUUCGCACACAACCAAUUAAACCAAAAGCCUGUUGGUGCUGCUUUAUGUCUGCGCCGUAUUGGAGGUUAAUUGAAGCGGUGGCCCCGGCUCUCCCCGUCAAUGGCGAAGAAUUGCCCACAGCAGCAUUUUCUCUCUCUUUCAGUCUCUAAAUCUUUUCCGUGUCGCAAAAAAAUAAAUAAAUUGUAUUUUUUUGACCCCCCUCCUGCGCCCUCGUCGUCCGACCAGAGGAGCACUGGGCACUCAGACAGCGUCAGGUCUGAUUUUAGCUGACAGCGUCGGGCUUGUUGAGCCCUGUGAAAACCAGGGAGCCAGUUAGCUUCUGCAGGUCUUUACACGACAUAGUGGAGGAUGGAACAUACACAUAACAUACAUGUACACGUCACAUCUCC